rnacentral:rRNA from 1 species
AGUAUGUGGUUAAUUCGAUGCAACGCGAAGAACCUUACCUGGUCUUGACAUCCCGGAGACCCUUAGGAAACUAGGGGGUGCUUCCAUCUGGAAGAAUCUGGAGACAGGUGCUGCAUGGCUGUCGUCAGCUCGUGUCGUGAGAUGUUGGGUUAAGUCCCGCAACGAGCGCAACCCUUGCCUUUAGUUGCCAGCAGUUCGGCUGGGCACUCUAAAGGGACUGCCGGUGUUAAACCGGAGGAAGGUGGGGAUGACGUCAAGUCCUCAUGGCCUUUAUGACCAGGGCUACACACGUACUACAAUGGCCGAUACAAAGGGCAGCGACACUGCGAGGUGAAGCCAAUCCCGUAAAAUCGGUCUCAGUCCGGAUUGGAGUCUGCAACUCGACUCCAUGAAGUUGGAAUCGCUAGUAAUCGUGGAUCAGCAUGCCACGGUGAAUACGUUCCCGGGCCUU